CGAUGGACAAACAAUGUACCGAUGGGACCAGGCGAUGGACUAAUAGAAGGGUAUACAACGAUAAACGAAGAGAUUGAUAGAUGGAGGAAAACACGAUGGACAGAGACGAAGGAAAAAAGAAGAGAAAGAUGGAGGGACAGACGAUGGACAAGUCAAGGGACAUACGAUAGACAGACAAACGAGAAGAUGGAGGGGCAGACGAUGUACAAACGGACGAUGGACAGAUGAGAGGAUGGACAGAUGGAGGGACAGACGAUAAGUAGUUAGAGAGACAGGCGAAGGAUAUAUAAAGGAACAGACGAUCUACAAAUGAAGAGAAAGACGAUGAAAAUGGAUGAACAGACCAUGGGCAGAAGACAAGAGAUGGUGGACAGUUGGUGUAAACAUACGAUGGAGAAACAGACGCUGAAUAAAUGGAGAAAGAGACGAUGGAAAAACAGACGAUGGACACAUGGAGAAACAGACGCUGAAUAAAUGGAGAAAGAGACAAUGGAAAAAUGGAGAAACGGACGAUGUACAAAUGGAGAAACAGAUGAAAUACAAAUAGAGAGAAAGAAAAUGAAGGACAGCGUUGAGAAAUAAUGAAAAUAUGGAAUGACAGUUGAUGAACAAAUGGAGAUAGAUGAUGGAUAGACAAACGGACUAAAAUGGACAGAUGAAGUGAAAGACGAUCGGCAGAUGGAGGAACAGACGAUGGACAGAAAAGAAACACGAUGGACUGAAGGAAAGACAUGAUGGACGAGAGGAACCGACGAUGAACGGACGGAGAGAAAGACGAUGUCCAGAUGAAAGGAUAGAUGAUGAAAAAAACGACUUAACAGACAAGGAAAGACGAAGUGGCAAACAGACACAAUUACACACAGUUCCUCUUAGCCUUUUAACUUGGUUUGCAUGGGGUCUAUGAAAUUCACGAAGGACGAAUUACGGGACUUCGAACGUUGGACGGAAUACGUUGUAAUUACAUGUAGAUCAUCGAGAAGACUCAGAUUGUAGAUUAAAGAGAACAACAGGA